UCAAAACAUAGCUUUGGUAAACAUCUAAACCUUAGUCAGUUGCCAACAAAAAGCAGGUGAGUGGAAACUGCUGGAAACAUCUUGUGUAAUGGAAACUUCCUCUGUCAUGAACUGGUGCGAAUUGGAGUACUUCUUCAAAACUCCCUUUUCUUCUUUGCCAACCAGUAGUAGCUGAAUUUCCACCAGUACCCUGUCGUCACCAGUAGUGGUUGUUGUUAAUCCUGGACCGGAUCGACCGAUCCAGUAUGGAGAUCAUGUUCUUGACUCGCAUGGUAGAUGUGGCAAAAGUUUUACUCCGCAUGCCCUACCUCUACAUUUAUCCGGGCUUGGCACUGACACAAGGAAUCAGGCACAGCUGUAGCUCUGCUGGGAAACUAUGUGGGAUUUCUGAUUUCUUUAAGAUGCGACUUUUUAAGUAAUUUCUGACCGCGUGACAAGAAGGAAGAGGAGACGAACUGAUCUGCUGCUUAGAUCAGAACAACACAGCUACAACCUGGAGCUGUCUCCAACUCUCAUUUCCCGGGCGGUGCCUGGAACCACUGUCACCAUCUUCCCAAAAGGGAGCAUAAAUAUAAAUGGAGCUAAAAGCAUCGAUGAGGUCCAUAAAGGAUUUGAUGCCAUCUACGAGAUCCUGAUUUGCUUCAGGAAGCAGUGAGGAGUGAAGCUGCUCGUAAUUUAAUACUGUCCCUGAAGCAUAAACAAUUGUAAAUAAACCAGUACAUCUAAUUUACUGGUUCAUUAAUGAAAGUGCAGCUGUAGUCUUUCAGACGGGUUAUUGCUGUUCUUUAGUGUACCACUAGAUGUCGUCAUGGCACAGUUUUUAGAGAUUGCAGAAAUUGGUGGAUUUUCUUUGGAUUAGAGUUUUAAGUGCAGCUCUGAUAUGCUGAUGAUUAGUCAUUUUUUUACCUGCAUCCUGGACAUCUUUAGCUAUCUUUGUCUCAGCCUGAUCCCCAAGGGUAGUCUGUCAGCUGACUGACAAAACAACAAAACAUGGAUAGAGCUGGAAAUCCAAAGAUUUUCGCAUCAAUAAAAACUGAAACAUGUCGGAUAUUUGCAGAGCAAGAAGCAUGUGGUUAAGGACAGAAAGCAAUCAAUGAACAAUUAUUGAGCAAAGUAGUGGGGGAAAUAAUAAAUGUUAAACCUAUAUGUUUACACUGAAUAAGCAUACAAGUUUAAAGGGUUUGUUAUGUUUUUGGUGUUUUUAUUCUGUGUAUCUGAUUAAUUUUCUUCUCUGUCCUAAAAAAGGUUUCUUACAAACAAGCAUGUAUGAAAGAGAAAAAAAUAUGGAGAUGAGAAAACAAAAUGGCAAAUAAUAAAAAAAUCGCUUAAACAUUACAAAGGUUUAUAAAUCAUACUGAUUUUUUGACAAUAAAAAAUGAAAAGAGUUAAAA